rnacentral:rRNA from 1 species
AUUGAACGCUGGCGGCAGGCCUAACACAUGCAAGUCGAGCGGAUGAAGGGAGCUUGCUCCUGGAUUCAGCGGCGGACGGGUGAGUAAUGCCUAGGAAUCUGCCUGGUAGUGGGGGAUAACGUCCGGAAACGGGCGCUAAUACCGCAUACGUCCUGAGGGAGAAAGUGGGGGAUCUUCGGACCUCACGCUAUCAGAUGAGCCUAGGUCGGAUUAGCUAGUUGGUGGGGUAAAGGCCUACCAAGGCGACGAUCCGUAACUGGUCUGAGAGGAUGAUCAGUCACACUGGAACUGAGACACGGUCCAGACUCCUACGGGAGGCAGCAGUGGGGAAUAUUCGACAAUGGGCGAAAGCCUGAUCCAGCCAUGCCGCGUGUGUGAAGAAGGUCUUCGGAUUGUAAAGCACUUUAAGUUGGGAGGAAGAGCAGUAAGUUAAUACCUUGCUGUUUUGACGUUACCAACAGAAUAAGCACCGGCUAACUUCGUG